rnacentral:rRNA from 1 species
AGUGAACGCUGGCGGUAGGCCUAACACAUGCAAGUCGAACGGCAGCACAGUAAGAGCUUGCUCUUACGGGUGGCGAGUGGCGGACGGGUGAGGAAUACAUCGGAAUCUACUUUUUCGUGGGGGAUAACGUAGGGAAACUUACGCUAAUACCGCAUACGACCUACGGGUGAAAGCAGGGGAUCUUCGGACCUUGCGCGAUUGAAUGAGCCGAUGUCGGAUUAGCUAGUUGGCGGGGUAAAGGCCCACCAAGGCAGCGAUCCGUAGCUGGUCUGAGAGGAUGAUCAGCCACACUGGAACUGAGACACGGUCCAGACUCCUACGGGAGGCAGCAGUGGGGAAUAUUGGACAAUGGGCGCAAGCCUGAUCCAGCCAUACCGCGUGGGUGAAGAAGGCCUUCGGGUUGUAAAGCCCUUUUGUUGGGAAAGAAAAGCAGCAGGUUAAUACCCCGCUGUUCUGACGGUACCCAAAGAAUAAGCACCGGCUAACUUCGUG